rnacentral:tRNA from 1 species
GGAUGUAGCUCAGUGGUAAAGCACAUGGUUUACAUGUAUGAGGCCCCAGGUUCAAACCCCGCCAAAUCCA